rnacentral:misc_RNA from 1 species
GAACAAUCAGUCCUACCAGUUUCAGCGGGUGACUUCUGGCGGGUCUCUUCCACUACGCACACUGCAAGCAACAAUCGCCACUACAAGCUUCUGAAAAGGAGACUUCUGGCGGGUCUCUUCCACUACGCACACUGCAAGCAACAAUCGCCACUACAAGCUUCUGAAAAGGGGCUAAUAGGAAGGAGAAACAGGCUCAGAGGAACACUCACGUCCUACAUGGGGCUGCUGCAUGGUCGGCCUGAGGAGGAAAGGGCAGCAGCAAUGAUUACCUGGAGAGAUGAAAGAAAUAUAUUGCAUGAGUAACAGGAGGAGGCAGUGGACACUUACUGAAACGAUAAUUACUCCCGGUGAGGUCUACUAGCAUUGGUUCUGAGGGUGCUAUGAACUUAUCCUUAAAGCCCGCUGUGAACUCACUGACCGUUUCCCUUCGUGUCUCACAACACAAAGGGGCAGUCACAGCCUGCCCUCGAAAGACAACUCUCUUCCUUCACACAAAACUACAUGCACCUAGCUACACAUACAUUCUUCAUUCAA